rnacentral:rRNA from 1 species
GAUGAACGCUGGCGGCGUGCCUAAUACAUGCAAGUCGAGCGAACAGAUGAGGAGCUUGCUCCUCUGACGUUAGCGGCGGACGGGUGAGUAACACGUGGAUAACCUACCUAUAAGACUGGGAUAACUUCGGGAAACCGGAGCUAAUACCGGAUAAUAUAUUGAACCGCAUGGUUCAAUAGUGAAAGACGGUUUUGCUGUCACUUAUAGAUGGAUCCGCGCCGCAUUAGCUAGUUGGUAAGGUAACGGCUUACCAAGGCAACGAUGCGUAGCCGACCUGAGAGGGUGAUCGGCCACACUGGAACUGAGACACGGUCCAGACUCCUACGGGAGGCAGCAGUAGGGAAUCUUCCGCAAUGGGCGAAAGCCUGACGGAGCAACGCCGCGUGAGUGAUGAAGGUCUUCGGAUCGUAAAACUCUGUUAUUAGGGAAGAACAAAUGUGUAAGUAACUAUGCACGUCUUGACGGUACCUAAUCAGAAAGCCACGGCUAAUUACGUG